UUGAAUCCACGCAGAUUUCGUCAGCAUUUCAUUUGGCACUUGUGGAAUAAUCGUUAAGUUUACAAAGAUUAUACAUUGGUGCCAAGUAAUCUGUGACGUCAUGGCACCUGAGGUUAAAA
rnacentral:precursor_RNA from 10 species